rnacentral:rRNA from 1 species
UGACAGUACUCCUACGGGAGGCAGCAGUGGGAAUAUUGCACAAUGGGGGGAAACCCUGAUGCAGCCAUGCCGCGUGUGUGAAGAAGGCCUUCGGGGUUGUAAAGCACUUUCAGUAGGGAAGAAGCGAAAGUGACGGUACCUGCAGAAGAAAGCACCGGCUAACUACGUGCCAGCAGCCGCGGUAAUACGUAGGGUGCAAGCGUUGUCCGGAUUUAUUGGGCGUAAAGAGCUCGUAGGCGGUCAGUCGCGUCGGAUGUGAAAACCCGGAGCUUAACUCCGGGCCUGCAUUCGAUACGGGCUGACUAGAGUGUUGUAGGGGAGACUGGAACUCCUGGUGUAGCGGUGAAAUGCGCAGAUAUCAGGAAGAACACCGGUGGCGAAGGCGGGUCUCUGGGCAACUACUGACGCUGAGGAGCGAAAGCGUGGGGAGCAAACAGGAUUAGAUACCCUGGUAG